GCCCGGUUCGUCUAGCGGCCCAGGACAACGGGUUUUCAGCCCGUGAAUCGGGGGUUCGAAUCCCCCACCGGGCA
rfam:Microgenomates (Gottesmanbacteria) bacterium GW2011_GWA2_47_9 TY16_C0041, whole genome shotgun sequence.